CUUUAAACAGAGCAUCUUAUGCGAAUGUUGAGAAUAAUUCAAUUCUAUCCAAUAUUAGUAGAAAAGAAACUGAAUUAAAAGAUUCUACUGCAGGGGACAGUCUUCCAAAACAUCAGGCUAUUGAGAGCCAGAGCAUAACUGAGACUGAUCAACAACCAAGUAAAUCGUCAGUAGCAACUGGUCAUUCUGAAGCACAAAUAAUAUGUGAGAGCCGUAAAGAUGUCCCAAGUGAUGUGGACAGUGAACACUCUCAGCUCGAUACCACACCGCAACACCUGUGUGUGAUUGAUAUACCAACUAAUCAUCACACUGUACUGAAAAAGCACCUCCAAACUGCUACAUUUGAACGUGGUCAGUUGCAACAAACUGCAGCAGAACUUGAAGAAAAGGCUGAACGUUUACGCUACGAACUGGC